AUACGGAGGAUCCGAGCGUUAUCCGGAUUUAUUGGGUUUAAAGGGUGCGCAGGCGGCCAUUUAAGUCAGCGGUUAAAUCGUGGGGCUCAACCCCAUUCUGCCGUUGAUACUGGGUGGCUUGAUUGCGGUCGAGGUUGGCGGAAUUCGUUGUGUAGCGGUGAAAUGCAUAGAUAUGACGAAGAACCCCGAUUGCGUAGGCAGCUGACCAGACCGCAAAUGACGCUCAUGCACGAAAGUGCGGGGAUCGAACAGGAUUAGAUACCCUGGUAGUCCGCACAGUAAACGAUGAAUACUUGUUUUCGGCGAUAUAAUGUCGGAGGCAAAGCGAAAGCGAUAAGUAUUCCACCUGGGGAGUACGCCGGCAACGGUGAAACUCAAAUGAAUUGGCGGGG
rnacentral:rRNA from 1 species